AAGGAACCGCGAGAGAGGGAGAGGGCAGAGAGCGCCAUGAUAGGAAAGAAGGAAGACCGGACCUAAAGGCCCACCGCCAUGACCAUGCUGCAUUGACAUAUUUCCUGGUGGCUGACUUGUUCUCGUGGAAUUAAAUGCUAGGAAUCCAGAAGCUGAAUGCGGAUCUAAUAUGCUCUCUAAAAUUAAAGAAAAGGUUGGCGUCAGACUUAAUCAGUGUAAAGUGUAGGCAUAGGACAAAAGAGAGCAUUUUGGAAGACUAUAUUUACAUGAAAUUGGAAAUGCUACAGACAAGCUGCAGAUGCUGAUACAAAGUCAGAAGACACGGUUGUCAGUGUUGGGAUGCUGCCUUAUUCUGCUCUCUCUCCUUUAGAAGAUGUACAGUUUACAUUGUGGGUAGCAUUCAUUAAUGAGGGCGAUGGAAACUUGAAGAAAGCACUGCAAGCUCUUCUCUGUGUUUCACUCACUGGCCAAGUAGCUAACCAGCUAGGUUUUCAGGCUCCCGCGUGUCUCAAGAUGAUGUGGCUCCUUCCAGUAGCAACCAUCCUGAGCAGAGACCUUUGCAAUAAUUUAAAAAUUAGAAGUGAUAUAGAGCUUACUACACUUUUUUUUUUUUUUUUGCUGAAGAUUAAAGAUCUUCAUGAAGGCACUGGCUCAAAAGACAUCAACCCCAAGCCUUUCGAAGGAUGUGCACUCGAGAUUGCCAUACUUGAUGGUGUGUCCAAUUAACUUAGAAAUACCCUUGACAUUUCUCAUCCGUGAAGAAAGGCUUGGGGUGACAGUUUUCAUGGUGCGGGCACUCACGGUGCCUAAUUUGCUUUUUCCUUGUUUUCAAGCCUGAAAGGGAAAUAGCCCCGGCCUUCAGCUCUGGAGCGAAAUGCUCUUCUUACAUGUAUACAGCCACUGUCUGAACCAUUGUACUUGACUUCCCCUCCAUCCCCCUUUUACCAAAUGUCCUUUUGAUAGCUCAUUUAAAAACUUCUUCUCCUUAAGCUUGGGGGUGCAGAGCAGCUCAGUGAUGGAGUGCUCACCCAUCACAAGCAAAGCUCCUCGGCCAUUCCCCGCUCCCCGCCCCCUCCCCAGCCCCUGUGCACACACCAAAGGAAACACAACCACAAAAGAGACAUUUCUGAUCUGAGAGGCCUCCUCCAGUUGGCUUUUGGAAGGCGAAGGUGCUACCUACCUACGCCGACAAAGCUCUUCCCAGUUAUCCUUCAGAUGACUGUGGUUACAAUCAGAAGAAGAAAAAGUAAAAUAAACUUUAAAGGGGAGCCAUCCAAACCAUUUAAAUCAGCACCAUAAAGCUAUUUUAGAAAGCCAGCUUUCUAUAUUUUAAUGCUUUCCAUGUCUGAGGCAUCUCUCCAGACUUUGGUGCUAUAAUUGUAACACCAUCUUGACACUUCUACUUUUAAGCCACGAAGUUUUUUUGCCUUUUCCUUUUACAAAGGAAAAAGAAAAAAUGGAGCCAAGUGACCGUAGUGCACACGCUGACUCAGGUAGCGGUGGCUGGAGAGAGAGGUCUGUGCUGAACAGUACAUCUGUGGCUUGGGCUUCUUGGUUGUCUGUGGCACAGGGUAAGAGCCAGGGAACUGAAGAACGAAGAGUGGUCUCAUCCUGACCAGGUCUGCAGGACUCUACAUGCAGGGAGAAGGCAGCAGACACUUCUUGUGGGGAAACAGGAAGGGUCUUAGGUGGCAACUGCUGUUUUCCGUGUGCCGUGUUAGGAAAUGGCCGGAUCUUUCUAAUGAUGCUGGUGGAUGUCAUCUUAGAUGCUCUCCUUCUCCAGCCGUGAGCAGAUGCUCUGCGCAGAGCACAACCCCUGUGAUCACGUUGUACCGUGACUUCAUGGCUGCCUCUCCAUUUAUGGUUUCUGACUGUCUAGCUUGAGAGGAGUGUGUGUUUGGAUGAGUCACCCCAAAUGACCUUUUCAUUGGCACAGAAGUACCAAGGAAGGAGCGGCCUGGCUCCCCAGGCUGGCCUCAAACUCACAAUGGAGCUGUGCGGCCGGGCUCAAAUUCGCUAUGGAGCUGUGGCCUAGGUUCUUGAAGAAUGGUUGAGUCAAGAUGGAAAUGGACAUCUUAAAGUCCACCGUAGGAAAAAAAGAGCUGCAGUAAACAGAACACAGGGAGAUGUGUAGAAGAGAAAGAAAAAGAGAAUUGUACUUGCAGAAGGACUUCUAUACCAGAACUGCAUUCUAACAAAUAUUCGAACAAGUAUUCCCUUGGAGUCCUCAGCAAGCAGUAUGCAGCAGGCGGAGAGUGCCAAGUCUGCAAAGCUUCGAAGUUGGCUCCCAAAUGCUCCAACUGAAAACACCUACCUGUUACAGCACCUGCUUUGCCAGCUCCCUGGAUUUUCUGCUACACCCUUGCUCAGAACAGUAAGUACUGGUUCAUCCUGAGGUACAAGGGAGGGACCCCAGUCACCUGUGUGCUUCCUGAAGAGAGUCCAUCUUCUCCUAGGUCACUUACUCCUCUAGCAGGUCAGAGGCAGGGCUGGCCACCCCCUGGCUCCCUGCUGCACCAGCGCUGGGAGAAGGCAUGCCUACUGUGUAUUUACUGGAGACAUUGUAUUUACUCAAAGGCUCUUUCCUUGAGAAAGAGUCACUGUCUUAGUAAGUUCAAAGAGCUGUCUAAUGCCAAGCUAUUUCCUUCUGGGUUAUUCUUGCACAAAUAUUGUGUGGGACAACUGUGUGCAUGUGCCAACAAACUUUAAUCCUCUCUUUCUCCUCUCUUUCUCCUCUCUCUCUCUCUCUCUCUCUCUCUCUCUCUCUCUCUGUAUGUGUGUACACAUACACAUACAAUAAACACAGUUGCAUGAAGUCCCAGGACCUAUGUGUGUCUAUAUAUACAGUAAGAUAUACUGAAAUGGAUGGAUUUUAAAGUUUUCCACAGGGUCUAAGAAAUUCUGUCCCACUUUCCCUUUAUAGACACUUUCUGUGACUGCUCAAGUUAAAAUGGGCGUCCGUCUAGCAUCAUGACCUUCAGUUAUGCCAUCAUUACUUGGAAAUGCUCCAUUCACAUCAUGCUCUCUUCUGAUCCACACGUUCACAGGAGAGAUCACCCCUACACUGCUGCAUCCACACAACCCAAGGGUUCCUGGCCUGAAAGUCACUUGUUAGCGAAUGGAAUGACUGGCCAUUUUAUACGCUAUGAAUAUUUUAAUGACACAAAUACAGAACACUAUUAUUCACAGUCACUGAGAACUUUGGUAAGUUUUGGGGUUCUCUUGUCAAGAAGUUGGCUGUCUUUAAGCCUUCCUCUCUUCAUAUUUACUACUGAAAUAUCUAAAGUGUACAGGAAAAGAAAACAGAAGAGGGGAAAUGCUACAGAAGUAUCAGUGUAGAAAUAAAGAAACCAGACAUUGGAUUCUUUGUUUUAAUGAUUAUGUGCAUUGAAAACAUACCCACUCACAGACACAUAGAAACACACACACACACACACAGU